rnacentral:rRNA from 1 species
CACGGGGGGAGCAAGCGUUGUUCGGAAUCACUGGGCGUAAAGGGCGUGUAGGCGGUUGUGUAAGUGGGAUGUGAAAUGCCUCGGCUUACCCGGGGACCUGCAUCCCAUACUGCAUGACUUGAGUACGGGAGAGGAUGAGGGAAUUCCUGGUGUAGCGGUGAAAUGCGUAGAUAUCAGGAGGAACACCGGUGGCGAAGGCGCUCAUCUGGCCCGAUACUGACGCUGAGGCGCGAAAGCUAGGGGAGCGAACAAG